rnacentral:rRNA from 1 species
GACGAACGCUGGCGGCGUGCUUAACACAUGCAAGUCGAACGGAAAGGCCCUGCUUUUGUGGGGUGCUCGAGUGGCGAACGGGUGAGUAACACGUGAGUAACCUGCCCUUGACUUUGGGAUAACUUCAGGAAACUGGGGCUAAUACCGGAUAGGAGCUCCUGCUGCAUGGUGGGGGUUGGAAAGUUUCGGCGGUUGGGGAUGGACUCGCGGCUUAUCAGCUUGUUGGUGGGGUAGUGGCUUACCAAGGCUUUGACGGGUAGCCGGCCUGAGAGGGUGACCGGGGACAUUGGGACUGAGGUGCGGCCCAGAGUGCUGCGGGAGGCAGCGGGGGGGAAUGGUGCACAAGGGGCGGAAGCCUGAUGCAGCAACGCCGCGUGCGGGAUGACGGCCUUCGGGUUGUAAACCGCUUUCGCCUGUGACGAAGCGUGAGUGACGGUAAUGGGUAAAGAAGCACCGGCUAACUACGUG